UGCUUUGUUUUCAUGUUGAUUUCAUAGUGGAAAUUUGACUUUAUAAUGAAUCCUCUUUGAUUAAAUAUGAUAAGUAUCUUGUCACUUGCGAGUUUGAGAGCAGCUGCGACGUGCCAUGCAAAUGAUCAUCAAGACGUUCCGGUUAAAUGAGUACGAGAAUUGCGGUUAAGUCUGUUUCGAUCUGUUUGAACUAUAUAGAUAAACAAUACUAUAUAUAUAUGCUCACUAAAUUAGUGACAUUUUAAUUUUCGUUUGGA